CUCGGAGUCCUCCUCCUAGUCCUCCGCGCCUACCACUCAUGCGCAUGCUCGAGUUGAUCCUAGCACGCACGUGCUGUUGAGAAGCAACGAGGAGAGGACGACGAGUGUUGCCUGCCUGUUGCUGCUGCUCCGAGUCCCGCUGUGGAAAGGAAGAGGAUCUGCUUUGGUGGCCAGCACAACAACAUCACCACCACCACCACCAUCAAUAAAGUUUUCACAGGAGGAUCAGCACCUCUGCUGAUUGGAAGAAUUCUGGCCACAACCAACCACAAACCACUGCUUAGUAACAAGCCUUCUAAUAUUUGAACAUCAUGAUGCCACGGAAGAAGGCGAGUGGAGCUGAAGGAUGGAAGAGGCGGAAGUUGGAGGCGGAAGAAGCCAAGAGGUCGAGCAGGUUCUUCAUGCCCUUCUUUACAAGGGCCGGAACAAGUAGCUCCACACCACCUUCCACAGAGUUGCCAGCACCUGCUCCAGUGUUUUCAGAAUCCGAAGGUGGAUCAAGUGCACAUCCGCCACAAGUGGAGGAGGAAGUCCAGUCAGAUGAAGAGGCUGCCACAGAGAGUGUGGACGUGACAGGAGGGGAAGCUGGUGGUGAUGUCGAGUCUACUGAUGAUGAGACUGAACCCGAGGAGGAGGAGGAGGACACUACGCACAGUGAACCAGAUGCUGCCCAAGAGCCUCCAACUGUUAGGCCGGAAGUGAUUGAUCGGCAUGACAUCGGACUUCUGCAGUUUGACAAGGAUACUGGAAGACCGAUUCUGCCUGACACGCUGAGAACAGAAAUAAUAAAGCUGGGUUCAAAGUAUUUCCAGAACACUGAGGGGCCUUUCCUACCAACAAAUAACCGUGCAAUGACUAGACUUGGUUCAGGAAGAGAUUGGGAAGUGGCCGUGGUGAGGAGGUGGCUCGCACAUGGCUGGUCUAUUCCCCUUCUAAGAAGUCUGCAUUUUGCUUCUGCUGUCUUCUCUUUUCCCGGUCAGACCAUCAGUCAACAUUGAAGCAGGAAAGUGGAUUCAACCACUGGAAAGCACCUGAAAGGAUUUGUGUUCAUGAGAAUGCCAAGAAUAAUCGGGAGUGCUUCACACAGUGGAAAGAAAUGGAAAGAAAUGUAGCUGGAAACAGAGGACUCAUUGAUGUGGAACUUCGGUCACAGAUUGAGACGGAGAAGCAGAGGUGGCGCGAAAUCUUGACAAGAAUCCUUAACUGCCUCAAAUACCUUGCAACUCAGAACCUGGCUUUGCGAGGACAUAGGGAGUCACUUCAGCUAGACAAGGAUGACUCCAAUGUAGGAAAUUUCCUUGGCUUAGUAAAACUAAUGGCUACUUGUGACCCAGUCAUGAAAGAACACCUGACCCAUGUGGAAUGUCAUCCUGGAUCCACCUCUUAUCUCUCACCGGCAGUCCAGAAUGAAUUCAUCCACGUGAUAGCAUCCACUGUUUGCAAGAGUCUACUGAGAGGCAUUCGUAAAGCAAAAUACUAUGGCCUCAUGUUCGACUCGACUCCUAACCUGGCACACCGUGAGCA